UACGUAGGCAGCGAGCGUUGUUCGGAAUUACUGGGCGUAAAGAGUGUGUAGGCGGUGCUCUAAGUUCGGUGUGAAAUCUCCUGGCUCAACUGGGAGGGUGCGCCGGAAACUGGAGUGCUUGAGCGUGGGAGAGGAAAGCGGAAUUCCUGGUGUAGCGGUGAAAUGCGUAGAUAUCAGGAGGAACACCUGUGGUGUAGACGGCUUUCUGGACCAUAGCUGACGCUGAGACACGAAAGCGUGGGUAG
rnacentral:rRNA from 1 species